AUGGACGACGCCGACGACUACCUCGCGGUGCUGCAGGCGAUGACCCGACUGCACCUGGAUUUCCCAGGAGACAGCAGCGAAGGGGUUACAACUCAUCGGGACGACGCCGAUGCCCCGGCGCAGCCCGCUGCCGCGGAGACCGGCCAUGUAAAGCAGCCGGCGGGUGAGUGGGCGGAGGUCCUGGUGAGCGAGAUGGCGAGCGCCACCUCCAUGGACGACGCCCGGUGCCGUGCCGCCAGGAUCCUCGAGGCAUUCGGAGGCGCCGUAUGCGCUCGCGCCGCGCGGGUAGUCCGCGAUAAGGACCGCGAGCUGGAGAACGUCCGGCGGCAGAACACCAUCCUGAAGAAGGCGGUGGUGAUCCAGCACCGGCAGCACAAUGAGAACGAGGAGAAGGGCAGGGAGCUCCAGGUGCAGGUCGCCCAGUACCGGGAGCAGGUCAGGCGGCUCGAGGCGGAUAAUUAUGGGCUGUCCAUGCACCUCAGGAACGCCGGCCGCGGGGCCUCCAUGCCGGGGAACUUCCACCCAGAAGUUUUCUGA
rnacentral:rRNA from 1 species